UUCCGUAGGUGAACCUGCGGAAGGAUCAUUAAAAAAUGAAGACCCAUAUAAUGAGGGUCUUAUUAAUAAUCCUACCCUUUGUGAAUUUGUUUGUUUUUAAUACGUGUCUUUCCCUGUUUUUUGAUGGAGCUUGUUUAAAAGCAAAAUCAAAUCAGGGGAAUGGCAAAACCUUUUUUAAAAUUAAACUUUUUGUAUUCAUUUGUCUAAAAAUUAUUUUUAUAAUAUAAAAACAACUUUUGACAAUGGAUCUUUGGUUCUCGCAACGAUGAAGAACGCAGCAAAAUGCGAUAAGUAAUGUGAAUUGCAGAAUACGUGAAUCAUCGAAUCUUCGACGCAUAUUGCACUUUUUUGGUUUACCAAAAAAGUAUGUCUGUUUGAGUAUCAGUAAAAUAUUCUCAUAAAAACUUUUUGUUUUUAUGGUUAUGAGUGUUUUACAACGAUAAACAAGUUGUUUCACUUUAAAUUCUUUGUCUUUUAAAAAAUCAUUAAAAACUGAUUUUUUUUAAAAUUGGAUAAAAUUUUCCCGUAAAAAGGAAUAACCUAAACAAUUUUAAGAAUUAAUUAGUUUGAUUUUUUAAAAGAUCUAACAAGGAAAAAAAAGUAAAAAUGAACUUGAUCUCAAAUCAGAUAAGAGUACCCGCUGAACUUAAGCAUAUCAAUAAGCGGAGGAAAAGAAACUAACUAGGAUUCCCUCAGUAACGGCGAGUGAAGCGGGAAGAGCUCAAAUUUGAAAUCUUCAAGGUUCUACCUUGACGAAUUGUAGUUUAAAGAAGUGUUUUCUGUUGGAGUUUUGGUAAAAGUUCUUUGGAAUAGGACAUCAUAGAGGGUGAGAAUCCCGUAUUUGACCAUUAUUUCCAACUUUGUGAUACACUUUCAAAGAGUCGGAUUGUUUGGGAAUGCAGUCCAAAAUGGGUGGUAAAUUUCAUCUAAAGCUAAAUACUGGCGAGAGACCGAUAGCGAACAAGUACCGUGAGGGAAAGAUGAAAAGAACUUUGAAAAGAGAGUUAAACAGUACGUGAAAUUGUCAAAAGGGAAGCGUUUGACACCAGUGUUGUUUUCUCGAAAAUCAAUUAAAAAUGGCAGGAUUUUGUGUUGUAUUGACUUUAUCAGCUUUCAGCACUUUUUUCUUGUCUUUUUUAAUGCACUUUUCGUUUAACAAGUCAACAUCAAUUUCUUUUGUUGUAAAAGGGUCAUGAGGAAGGUGGCUUUCUUUUCGGAGAAAGUGUUUAUAGCCUCGUACCUCUGCAAUCGGAGAGAUUGAGGUCUGCAGCGUAGAUCCUUCGGGGUUAGAUACAUUUGUGCUAAGUUAUAGCCUUUCAUAGACAACUUGUUGACUAUGUUCAGUCUUGUAGCUUACUCGCUUAUGCUAUUUUACCUACGCUUAGGAUGUUG
rnacentral:misc_RNA from 1 species